CUUCUCUUCCCAGCUCUGGGACUCUAGGCUGAGGGUCUGUUGUGGGACUGGGACCUCUUGCUCCUCACGGGCAGCCUCCACAGACAAUCUCCCUCCUGAUUUAAAAAACAGCGCCUGUGGUGUCAGACAGCCCGGUCCGUGCCUCCGCCCUCCUACCAGUCUCAGUGUGCUUUCUCCUUUACUUCUCUAGUUGUAGGAUUCCAUUCCACCAGCUUUCAGGCGGUUCUGACUGAUGGUUGUUCUGUAUUUUAGUUGUAAUUUUGAUGUGGUUGUGGGAGGCAGCGGGCACAGGC